UACAGAGGGGGCAAGCGUUAUCCGGAUUCACUGGGUUUAAAGGGUGUGUAGGCGGAUAUUUAAGUCAGUGGUGAAAUCUCCAGGCUCAACCUGGAAACUGCCAUUGAUACUAUUUAUCUUGAAUCCUGUUGAGGUGGGCGGAAUACAUCAUGUAGCGGUGAAAUGCUUAGAUAUGAUGUAGAACACCGAUUGCGAAGGCAGCUCACUAAGCAGGUAUUGACGCUGAGGCACGAAAGCGUGGGGAUCAAACAGG
rnacentral:rRNA from 1 species